AACGCUGGCGGGAUGCUUUACACAUGCAAGUCGAACGGCAGCAUAGAGAGCUUGCUCUCUGAUGGCGAGUGGCGAACGGGUGAGUAAUAUAUCGGAACGUGCCCAGUAAUGGGGAAUAACUAGCCGAAAGGUUAGCUAAUACCGCAUACGACCUACGGGUGAAAGCAGGGGAUCUUAGGACCUUGCGUUAUUGGAGCGGCCGAUAUCUGAUUAGCUUGUUGGUGGGGUAAAAGCCUACCAAGGCAACGAUCAGUAGCUGGUCUGAGAGGACGAUCAGCCACACUGGAACUGAGACACGGUCCAGACUCCUACGGGAGGCAGCAGUGGGGAAUUUUGGACAAUGGGGGAAACCCUGAUCCAGCCAUCCCGCGUGAGUGAAGAAGGCCUUCGGGUUGUAAAGCUCUUUCGAAAGUGAAGAAAACUUAUUUCAUAAUAUGUUAUGAGUAUGACGGUAACUUUAGAAGAAGCACCGGCUAACUACGUGCCAGCAGCCGCGGUAAUACGUAGGGUGCGAGCGUUAAUCGGAAUUACUGGGCGUAAAGCGUGCGCAGGCGGUUUUGUAAGUCAGAUGUGAAAUCCCCGAGCUUAACUUGGGAACUGCGUUUGAAACUACAAGACUAGAGUGUGUCAGAGGGGGGUAGAAUUCCACGUGUAGCAGUGAAAUGCGUAGAGAUGUGGAGGAAUACCAAUGGCGAAGGCAGCCCCCUGGGAUAACACUGA
rnacentral:rRNA from 1 species